GAAUUCGCCCUUAGAGUUUGAUCCUGGCUCAGGACGAACGCUGGCGGCACGCCUAACACAUGCAAGUCGAACGGACUUAAAAGAGCUUGCUUUUUUAAGUUAGUGGCGGACGGGUGAGUAACACGUGAGCAACCUGCCUCUGAGAGGGGGAUAGCUUCUGGAAACGGAUGGUAAUACCCCAUAAAAUAUAAAUAUCGCAUGAUAGAUAUAUCAAAGAAAUUCGCUCAGAGAUGGGCUCGCGUCUGAUUAGAUAGUUGGUGAGGUAACGGCUCACCAAGUCGACGAUCAGUAGCCGGACUGAGAGGUUGACCGGCCACAUUGGGACUGAGAUACGGCCCAGACUCCUGCGGGAGGCAGCAGUGGGGAAUAUUGCGCAAUGGGGGAAACCCUGACGCAGCAACGCCGCGUGAAGGAUGAAGGUCUUCGGAUUGUAAACUUCUUUUAUUAAGGACGAAGAAAGUGACGGUACUUAAUGAAUAAGCUCCGGCUAACUACGUGCCAGCAGCCGCGGUAAUACGUAGGGAGCAAGCGUUGUCCGGAUUUACUGGGUGUAAAGGGUGCGUAGGCGGCUUUGCAAGUCAGAUGUGAAAUCUAUGGGCUCAGCCCAUAGCCUGCAUUUGAAACUGCAGAGCUUGAGUGAAGUAGAGGCAGGCGGAAUUCCCCGUGUAGCGGUGAAAUGCGUAGAGAUGGGGAGGAACACCAGUGGCGAAGGCGGCCUGCUGGGCUUUAACUGACGCUGAGGCACGAAAGCGUGGGUAGCAAACAGGAUUAGAUACCCUGGUAGUCCACGCUGUAAACGAUGAUU
rnacentral:rRNA from 1 species